CCGAAACCGGCGACGGAGUUUUUAUUGGGUGAUUUCACGAUGGGAACGACGGUGGGGUUAGGGCCGCUGUAUAUGUCAUGCCAGUAGAAGCGGAAAUGGGUAAGCUUUUCCUUCUUUAGCCGAUAGAGAUUAUGGUUUAUGGUUGUUCCAAAAUCGUUAUCUACUUCGGCGACUAUACUUGUGGGGCAGGAAGAAAAGAGGGUGAAGAUGGCAAGAUGGAAAGCUAUAAUGGGAAGAAGGACAGCGCUAGCCAUGCUUGCCAAUCUCAGCCUCUGCUGCUACUGUGUAC
rnacentral:lncRNA from 1 species